rnacentral:rRNA from 1 species
AUGUCGGAGCACGCCGCCCCGGAGCUACCCAAGAGGUGCCACCACUGCGCAGGGCCCCUCUCCAAGGACAUGGAAACUAGCAGCUGGACCGUGACUCCAUUGGUUCGAGAUAGCUUCUCAAUGAUUGGUUCCGCUGUUGGGGGUACUGCAGGCGCGUUUUAUGCGUUUAAUCAUGCUAUGCCUGUUGUUCGGCGUUACAUAAAAGGGCCAAUGUGGAUGCAUUUUCUUGUUGGUGCCCCUCCAGUUGUUGUAUUCUCUUCUGCGUGUGCUGGAUUAGCAGCUGGUACAAUACCAGCCCUUGCACAACUGGUUUCGUCGUCCUGUCAUGCCGCCAUGUCAUCGCCCUCCUUCGCCCGCCCUGCUUCUCCCGAUGACAUGCACAAGAGCAGAGGCUCCUCGCCAUUGUAA